rnacentral:rRNA from 1 species
UACGUAGGGACCAAGCGUUGUUCGGAUUUACUGGGCGUAAAGGGCGCGUAGGCGGCGGGGUAAGUCUGGUGUGAAAUCUCGGAGCUCAACUCCGAAAUUGCACUGGAUACUGCUCUGCUAGAGGGCUGGAGAGGAGAUCGGAAUUCACGGUGUAGCAGUGAAAUGCGUAGAUAUCGUGAGGAAGACCAGUGGCGAAGGCGGAUCUCUGGACAGCUCCUGACGCUGAGGCGCGAAGGCUAGGGGAGCAAACGGG